rnacentral:rRNA from 1 species
UCGAACGGUUAAAGCACCUUUGGGUGUGUAUAGAGUGGCGAACGGCUGAGUAACACGUGGGCAACCUGCCCUUUGCAUCGGGACAGCCUCGGGAAACCGUGGUUAAUACCGGAUACUCCAUCUUUCUCACAUGAAAAAGAUGGGAAAGUGUUUAGCGGCAAGGGAUGGGCCCGCGCCCUGUUAGCUUGUUGGUGGGGUAAAAGCCUACCAAGGCAAUGAUGGGUAGCCGGGUUGAGAGACCGACCGGCCAGAUUGGGACUGAGACACGGCCCAGACUCCUACGGGAGGCAGCAGUGGGGAAUCUUGCACAAUGGGCGAAAGCCUGAUGCAGCGACGCCGCGUGCGGGAUGAAGGCCUUCGGGUUGUAAACCGCUUUCAGCAGGGACGAGGCGAAAGUGACGGUACCUGCAGAAGAAGCCCCGGCUAACUACGUGCCAGCAGCCGCGGUAAUACGUAGGGGGCAAGCGUUAUCCGGAUUCAUUGGGCGUAAAGCGCGCGUAGGCUGCCCAGUAGGUCGAGAGUUAAAUCCGGGGGCUCAACCCCCGUCCGCUCCCGAUACCGCUGGGCUUCGAGUCUGGUAGGGGAAGGUGGAAUUCCCAGUGUAGCGGUGGAAUGCGCAGAUAUUGGGAAGAACACCGGUGGCGAAGGCGGCCUUCUGGGCCAUGACUGACGCUGAGGCGCGAAAGCUAGGGGAGCGAACAGGAUU